GUCUCUGUAGCUCAGUAGGAUAGAGCGUUCGCCUCCUAAGCGAAAGGUCGUGGGUUCGAAUCUCGCCAGGGACACCA
rnacentral:tRNA from 2 species